rnacentral:rRNA from 1 species
UACGAAGGGUGCAAGCGUUACUCGGAAUUACUGGGCGUAAAGCGUGCGUAGGCGGUUUGUUAAGUCUGUCGUGAAAGCCCCCGGGCUCAACCUGGGAAUGGCGAUGGAUACUGGCGAGCUAGAGUACGGUAGAGGAGAGUGGAAUUCCCCGGUGUAGCAGUGAAAAUGCGUAGAGAUCGGGAGGAACAUCAGUUGCGAAGGCGGCUCUCUGGACCAGUACUGACGCUGAGGCACGAAAGCGUGGGGAGCAAACAGG